rnacentral:rRNA from 1 species
CAAGGAAUUUUGGGCAAUGGGCGAAAGCCUGGCCCAGCGACACCGCGUGAGGGAAUAAGGCCUUCGGGUUGUAAACCUCUUUUCCUGGGGAAGAAUCUCGACGGUACCCAGGGAAUAAGCCUCGGCCAACUACGUGCCAGCAGCCGCGGUAAUACGUAGGAGGCGAACGUUAUUCGGAUUUACUGGGCGUAAAGGGAGCGUAGGCGGUUCCUUAAGUCGGAUGUGAAAUCUUCUGGCUCAAUCGGAAGGCGCCAUUUGAUACUGAGGGACUUGAGAGCAGCAGAGGGAAAUGGAAUCUGCAGUGUAGCGGUGAAAUGCGUAGAUAUUGCGGAGAACACCAGUGGCGAAGGCGGUUUCCCAGGCUGUUUCUGACGCUGAGGCUCGAAAGCGUGGGGAGCGAAGCGGAUUAGAUACCCGCGUAGUCCACGCCCUAAACGGUGGACACUAGAUAUAGGAGGUAUCGACCCUUUCUGUGUCGAAGCUAACGCUUUAAGUGUCCCGCCUGGGGAGUACGGCCGCAAGGCUG